AAUAAGUUGGCAGAAUAGUGCCACCAAUUUAGGAUUGGUUCAUGGAAAUAUCCACUUAUU
rnacentral:tRNA from 1 species